rnacentral:rRNA from 1 species
GACAAACGCUGGCGGCGUGCCUAACACAUGCAAGUCGAACGGGCGAAGAGGGGAGCUUGCUUUCCUCAGAGCUAGUGGCGGACGGGUGAGUAACGCGUGAGUAACCUGCCUUGGAGAGGGGAAUAACACAAAGAAAUUUGUGCUAAUACCGCAUAUGGUGGCAGUACCGCAUGGUACAGCCAUGAAAGAUUUAUCGCUCCAAGAUGGACUCGCGUCCGAUUAGCCAGUUGGCGGGGUAACGGCCCACCAAAGCAAACGAUCGGUAGCCGGACUGAGAGGUUGAACGGCCACAUUGGGACUGAGACACGGCCCAG